CACUUUGAGACUGUGACAGGACACAACAGUCAACAGCGCGCGUGUGUAUAUGGAAAACAUCUCAAAUAGACACCUUUUGCUUUAAGUUUAUCCGGCGCUGUGUCUUGUGAUGGAGCCCAGAGGGCAAGGCUGGCAUACGCCAGGCUAUCAGUACCAGUCUAGUAACAGAGAUGACAACUACAGAUCCUCCCACCAAACACCAUAUUACCACCCACCUACAGACCCGAGAGGGAGAGAAAGACAGUGGCCUCAUGUGGAUCCUCGCUAUGGAAGCUACAUGGCCAGUCCUCCUCCUAAACCAGAGUAUAUUCCUGGAUAUAGUAGUGCUUAUGCAUCUAACCAACCAUUACACUUCAGACCUCAUUCCAGGCAGGAAUAUGACUACCCCGCAUCCAACUACUGGCCCUACAGAGAAGACUACGGGUCCUACAGAGAAGACUACGGGUAUUAUGAUUAUCAUGGUUAUCACAGAUCACAAUACAGCUCCCCAGAUGGUGGUGGCUGGAGAACAGAGGGGUAUCAGGGCAGAGGACUGCAGCAGGAGUCAGCAAGAGCUUCGUACUUCGAUCAGCAGGGCUAUAGCCAUAGAACAGACAGUCAAUAUGACCAUGGAGUCUCAGAGAGACAGCACAGAGAAAGUGUGGAAAAUGGAGAUGGAACUGGAGAGGUGUAUGAUAGUGGAGCUCUUGCCAACUCUAAAGCUUCUGGUCUGUCCUCGAGCAGCUAUGAGCUCAGCCAGUACAUCGGUGGUGCUGAACUGAGUGAGCCUGAGCUCAUAUCUCACACAGAUGCUGUACCCAUGGAGGUGGCUCCCCUGAAGUUCUGCAUCCCUCAUGUGGCAGUGAGUUUUGGGCCUUCAGGUCAGCUGGUGUGGGUCAGUCCAGCUCUUGCUUCUGAGGGUGAGCCUGCUCAAGUGGAACUCCACAGUCUGGAGGUAAUUCUCUGUGACACACAUGAACAGCAGGAUAUGAGAGAUUUUCCUGGACCACUGGCUAAGGAGGAUUUGCAUAAGGUGGAUGCCAUUAAUUUUGCCCUCCAAAUGUCAGAGAAAUGUCUGAAAGAUGAGAAAUUAGAAGAUGCCACUUCUGCUGCCCUCUUGUGGCAUCUACUAAUCUUGCUGUGCAGACAGAAUGGAAGAAUCAUGGGUUCAGAUGUUGCAGAACUGCUGAUGAGGGACUCCAGUUCUCUGGGUGCGUGUGGGGUCUCUGAUGAUGGAGAUGGAGAAACUCUUAUUGAUCUGAGUGAAACACCCACAUCAGAAAAAGAGACCCUCAACUUUGCCGACCUCCUGACUGGAUAUCCACCAACUGACAAAGAGGCUGCAAAGCAAAACCUUCAGAGAUACACAAAACUAUUGCUGUCUGGCAGAAAGAAGGAGGCGCUAGAGUCAGCCAUGCAGAGUGGUCUUUGGGGUCAUGCUUUAUUUCUGGCUAGCAAAAUGGACAGCAGAUCCUACAACACAGUGCUGAGCAGGUUUACAGGGAGUCUGGCUUCUAGUGACCCUCUGCAAACCCUCUUCCAGCUGCUCUCUGGGAGGAUUCCAGCUUCCUGGAGUAGUGAGAAGUGGGGAGACUGGCGACCACACUUGGCUGUUUUGCUGUCCAAUGAGACAGGAGACCCCUUUAUACAUCACAGGUCCAUCAUCACCAUGGGUGAUACUCUAGCCUCAAGGGAUAUGCUGUAUGCCUCCCAGAUCUGCUACCUCACGGCUCAAUGUCCCUUUGGCUGGUACACAAACAGAUCAGAGCGCCUUGUGCUUCUGGGCAGCAAGCAAAGAUCAUAUGAUUGUUUCACAUUUGUUUUUUUGCUGUAUUACUAUGGUUCAGUCUGUUUAUCUAUUGCAUAG
ensembl:lncRNA